AGGCCCAGUGCAAAGCAUAUGGAUUGAAAGUUGGGAAGAGUUACAGUUACUUGAAUAAAGAGAAGUUGGAUGCUUAGAACUGAAAAUAUCCACAAUGCUAAGAUCAUUUUUAUAUUUAUUCGAGCUAAUUCAACAUUUUAAAAACGGGAAUAGGAACUUUAUCUAUAUAAUACCAGCUUCAACCCAAGAGGAGUAUGGAAAGACCUCUGAUAUUCCCUCCAGGACACUUGCUGGCUUUGUGAUCUUGGGUAGAUCACAAUCUCUGAUUCUUGUUCUUCCCAGCUGCAAAAUGGGGAUAAUAUUGUCUCCCUAUCCAUAUCACAGAUGGUUAUGAAGAUUCAAAAAGAGAAGGGGUUUCACCGUGGUCUCAAUCUCCUGACCUCGUGAUCUGCCCGCCUCGGCCUCCCAAAGUGCUGGGAUUACAAGCGUGACCCACCGCGCCCCGCCUGGAAAACUUUCAGUGAUCACCCAAGACCAUACUAUCUGAAUACAGUGCAUUAAAGGAGGUGCAGAGACUGAAGAUCUGCAUUAAGCAGCAAGUACUUCAGCCCAGGUCCAUGUUCU
rnacentral:lncRNA from 1 species